AAACGAUGCCGACCGGCGAUCCGCCGUCGUUACUUGAAUGACUCGGCGGGCAGCCUCCGGGAAACCAGAGUGUUUGGGUUCCGGGGGAAGUAUGGUUGCAAAGCUGAAACUUAAAGGAAUUGACGGAAGGGCACCACCAGGAGUGGAGCCUGCGGCUUAAUUUGACUCAACACGGGAAAUCUCACCAGGCCCGGACACCGGAAGGAUUGACAGAUUGAGAGCUCUUUCUUGAUUCGGUGGGUGGUGGUGCAUGGCCGUUCUUAGUUGGUGGAGCGAUUUGUCUGGUUAAUUCCGAUAACGAACGAGACUCUGGCCUACUAACUAGACGUAAGAUCUCUUUGUGGGUCUUUCGUAGCUUCUUAGAGGGACGGGCGGCGUUUAGCCGCGCGAGAAUGAGCAAUAACAGGUCUGUGAUGCCCUUAGAUGUUCUGGGCUGCACGCGCGCUACACUGAAGGAAUCAGCGUGUGUACCUUUUCUGAAAAGAAAGGGAAACCCGUUGAACCUCCUUCGUGAUGGGGAUUGGGGAUUGCAAUUAUUCCCCAUGAACGAGGAAUUCCCAGUAGGCGCGAGUCAUAAGCUUGCGUCGAUUACGUCCCUGCCCUUUGUACACACCGCCCGUCGCUACUACCGAUCGAGUGAUUUAAUGAGGACUUCGGAUUGGUCUUCGUGAUGGC
rnacentral:rRNA from 1 species